GAUGAACGCUGGCGGCGUGCCUAAUACAUGCAAGUCGAGCGAACGGACGAGAAGCUUGCUUUUCUGAUGUUAGCGGCGGACGGGUGAGUAACACGUGGAUAACCUACCUAUAAGACUGGGAUAACUUCGGGAAACCGGAGCUAAUACCGGAUAAUAUUUUGAACCGCAUGGUUCAAAAGUGAAAGACGGUCUUGCUGUCACUUAUAGAUGGAUCCGCGCUGCAUUAGCUAGUUGGUAAGGUAACGGCUUACCAAGGCAACGAUGCAUAGCCGACCUGAGAGCGUGAUCGGCCACACUGGAACUGAGACACGGUCCAGACUCCUACGGGAGGCAGCAGUAGGGAAUCUUCCGCAAAGGGCGAAAGCCUGACGGAGCAACGCCGCGUGAGUGAUGAAGGUCUUCGGAUCGUAAAACUCUGUUAUUAGGGAAGAACAUAUGUGUAAGUAACUGUGCACAUCUUGACGGUACCUAAUCAGAAAGCCACGGCUAACUACGUG
rnacentral:rRNA from 1 species